AUUGAACGCUGGCGGCAGGCCUAACACAUGCAAGUCGAACGAGUGGCGGACGGGUGAGUAAUGUCUGGGAAACUGCCUGAUGGAGGGGGAUAACUACUGGAAACGGUAGCUAAUACCGCAUACCAUCGGAUGUGCCCAGAUGGGAUUAGCUAGUAGGUGGGGUAAAGGCUCACCUAGGCGACGAUCCCUAGCUGGUCUGAGAGGAUGAUAAGUCACCCUGGAACUGGGACACGGGCCAUACUCCUACGGGAGGCAGCAGUGGGGAAUAUUGGACAAUGGUCGAAAGCCUGAUCCAGCCAGGCCGCGUGUGUGAAGAAGGUCUUCGGAUUGUAAAGCACUUUAAGUUGGGAGGCGUUACCAACAGAAUAAGCACCGGCUAACUUCGUGCCAGCCGCCGCGGUAAUUC
rnacentral:rRNA from 1 species